AGCGUCCUGGCCGAACUGGUCAACACAGCAGAAUUGAAAUCUGCUUCUCUUGGAUUGCGCAGGUUCGAAACCUGCUGAUGUGA